UAUUUACGAUUAACUUACAUAUCUCUCUAACAAACUACAAUUUUUGAAAUUUAGGUCGAAGAACGUGAAGCAUUCUAAUGGAGACCAAUCUAUGAUACUUCUUAACUGGGAAGCUUGGUAAGAUUAUUGCCACUAAAGAUUAUCAUUUUAUAGCACUUGGGUGGUGUACCCUGGUGCGCGGACUUGUGGAUUAUGAAAGUGCUACUGAUCAGUACUCAAUGAAUGGAAUAAGACAAAGGCAUAUUGAGUUGUUGAAGAUACUUUCCUCAUGUUUUUCACAUAUAUUACAAAUAAUAUCUAAGGGAAGGUAUAAGCUUCUUACUUGGAUCAUCAUCGACCAAGUUGAGAUGGAUCUUCAUUUUGUAAUAGUUGCUUUAAUAAAUGAUCUGCUUUUAGUUUGCUCA